UACGUAGGGUGCGAGCGUUAAUCGGAAUUACUGGGCGUAAAGCGUGCGCAGGCGGCUUUGCAAGACAGAUGUGAAAUCCCCGGGCUCAACCUGGGAACUGCAUUUGUGACUGCAAGGCUAGAGUACGGCAGAGGGGGAUGGAAUUCCGCGUGCAGCAGUGAAAUGCGUAGAUAUGCGGAGGAACACCAAUGGCGAAGGCAAUCCCCUGGGCCUGUACUGACGCUCAUGCACGAAAGCGUGGGGAGCAAACAGG
rnacentral:rRNA from 1 species